UUACUUUAUAAUAUGAUAGCAGAUAUUACAAACUAGAUAGAUAUUAAAGAUAUCAACUUAAUUAAAUAUCAUGUUUAAAAUAUUAAUCAAGAUAAACAUGAGCCCUAAGUAGGUACUAGAUGCAAGUUAUAGGUUAGGAGAUACCAGAAUAGGGAGACGAAGACUUUGAAUGGAUGAAGGACAAAUGCUUUAGAGGUGGUUUCAUCUAAUCUUGUACUCUAUUCUAGAACAAUCUUGUACAUCAUUCCAAAAAUAGUAUUAUUCCAAAUCUUAUAUAAGACUGAAAAAAAUAUUUUAUCAAUUUUUUUUAGCUUUU
rnacentral:lncRNA from 1 species